rnacentral:rRNA from 1 species
UCAGAGGAAUUUGUCUAUUUAUUGUCAUUACUCAUUUAUUUUAACUUUUUUUUAUUUUCUAUACCGCCGUCUUAAGAUGCAACUUCAAACUUUUGUCUCAAGCUUUUUUGGUAAGUCAGGUCAAGGUGGAGAUUAUAAGAAAGUUUAGAUUAAUUAUUUAUAAAUAUUAUUUAAAGUCAGUUUUCUAAAGAUAACUUAAAUAAAGAUUUGAAAGUAGUCUUUAAUUAAAAAUUAAAGACGAACUUGCCACAGGUGUACAUAUCGCCCGUCACCCUCGUCUAAAGAUGAGGUAAGUCGUAACAUAGUUAGUAUACUGGAAAGUGUACUAAGGGGGAUUAAAAGCUUCAGCGUUUCAUUUACACAGAAAAGAGUGGUUAUUCAAUUUUCAUAAAUUUUCCUUAUUUAAAUCACUAUUUAUUUUCUUUAAUUUUAUCCUUUUUUUAAACAACCGUAAGGGAUAAUGAAAUCGACUCUAAGAAACUUUUAAUGUACCUUUUGUAUCAGGGUGGGUCAAAAUUAUUAUUUGAAAAAUAUUAUCCCGAAAUAAAAUGAGCUACUCCAUUUAUUGUAUUUUAUAGCAAAAAAAUAGUAAAAAUUUAGUAGAAGUGAAAUUCUAUUCGUAUUUUUUGAUAUCUGGUUUUUUCAAAGAGUAUGAUUACUAAAAUCUAAAAAGGGACAAUCUUUUUUAGAUAUUUGUCUUUUCAUUUAUAAACCUAUCAAGGAUUAGAAGUGUCCUUUUGUGUAAAAACUUUUCUUAUUAUAGUCGGAUAAAUUCUUCUAUGGAACUUUAUUCCUUUUUUAGGGACAAUGAUUCAAUCAGUAAAGAGCUAAUUCAAUUAUUCUUUUUAAUUUCUUAAAAUGGUUUCUCUAGUUUAUUUUCAUUAACUCGGCUAAGUUUUCUGACUGUUUACCAAAAACAUUUCUGAAUGAUUUUUAUAUUCAGUAAGACCUGCUCAAUGAUGUUUUUCAAUAGCCGCAACUUAUGUGCUAAGGUAGCAUAAUCAUUUGCCUUAUAAUUUAAGGCUAGUAUGAAAGGUUUAACAUGAUAACUUCUUUGUAAAUUUAACUCCUAGAAUUUUACUUAUAAGUAAAAAGGCUUAUAUUUAGAAGGGGGACGACAAGACCCUAACGAGCUUCACUUCUUUAGUUGAACUGGGGUGGUAAAAAACUAAAUCUUUUUAUUUCAUUUAUACUUAUCCUUAUAAUAAGAUUUUCAAGUUACCGUAGGGAUAACAGCAUAAUUUUUUUCUAGAGACCUUAUCUAAAAAAAAGAUUGUGACCUC